rnacentral:tRNA from 1 species
GCCGAGAUAGCUCAGUCGGUAGAGCACAUGCAUGGUAAGCAUGAGGUCGCGGGUUCGAUUCCCGCUCUCGGCUC